CAGAGUUGAGUUUCAAGUAGGAUAUCAUACAUGUGCCUGGUACCAAUUCAUCCACGGACCGGUACCAGUCCGUAGCCCUGUGGUUGGGGACCUCUGUGUUAGCACACUUCUGAUCACCAUUUGGAGAUAUCGAUGCCUCUUGGUCAUUAU